GACGAACGCCGGCGGCGUGCCUAAUACAUGCAAGUAGAACGCUGAAGCUUGGUGCUUGCACCGAGCGGAUGAGUUGCGAACGGGUGAGUAACGCGUAGGUAACCUGCCUGGUAGCGGGGGAUAACUAUUGGAAACGAUAGCUAAUACCGCAUAAUAGCAGUUGUUGCAUGACAACUGUUUAAAAGGUGCAAUUGCAUCACUACCAGAUGGACCUGCGUUGUAUUAGCUAGUUGGUGGGGUAACGGCUCACCAAGGCGACGAUACAUAGCCGACCUGAGAGGGUGAUCGGCCACACUGGGACUGAGACACGGCCCAGACUCCUACGGGAGGCAGCAGUAGGGAAUCUUCGGCAAUGGACGGAAGUCUGACCGAGCAACGCCGCGUGAGUGAAGAAGGUUUUCGGAUCGUAAAGCUCUGUUGUAAGAGAAGAAACGAGUGUGAGAAGUGGAAAG
rnacentral:rRNA from 1 species